AUCCACGGCCAUACCACUCCAAAUGUGCCCAGGCUCAUCUCAUCUCAGAAGCUAAGCAGGGUCGUGCCUGGUUAGUACUUGGAUAGGAGAAAUAAGAAUACUUAUCCAAGAUGUCGAGGGAU
rnacentral:rRNA from 1 species